UGCCUCUCCCGCACCUUGUUUGCUUU
rnacentral:piRNA from 1 species